rnacentral:tRNA from 1 species
CUUGUCUUAGUUUAAGCGUAGAAUAGUAGUUUUGGGGAUUAUAGGUUUCCAAUGGAAAGGCUUGA